CAGAGCUAAUCACCAUUACCCCUCUUACUAGGGCUCUAAGUCGUUUGUUGAAAUACUCUAUGAAAGGAAAAAGCCAGAUGGCACUGGUCUUAGUCUCAUAGAGUUGUUUAAGGAAAAACAUACAAAAAAGCUGCCAAAUGGGACGUACUAUAUGCCUGAGCUUGCAAUGCAACAUUAUGAAAAGAUGAAAAAGUUGCUCAAUGACCAAGAGGGUGUGGAGUACCCGAUGACUGAGGAGGCUAUCCUCGAUGAGGUUUUGGGUAAAAGACGGGGUUUCAAGCGAGGACGUGGUCAUAUUGUAUCUGGAUACUCCUCUUCAUCAAGUUCCGG